rnacentral:rRNA from 1 species
UACGGAGGGUGCAAGCGUUAUCCGGAUUCACUGGGUUUAAAGGGUGCGUAGGUGGGCAGGUAAGUCAGUGGUGAAAUCUCCGGGCUUAACCCGGAAACUGCCAUUGAUACUAUUUGUCUUGAAUACCGUGGAGGUCAGCGGAAUAUGUCAUGUAGCGGUGAAAUGCUUAGAUAUGACAUAGAACACCGAUAGCGAAGGCAGCUUGCUACACAGUUAUUGACACUGAGGCACGAAAGCGUGGGGAGCGAACAGG